rnacentral:misc_RNA from 1 species
GCAAACUUGGUCAUUUAGAGGAAGUAAAAGUCGUAACAAGGUUUCCGUAGGUGAACCUGCGGAAGGAUCAUUAUCGAGUUUAAACCCAAAGGGGGCUACUGUGCUGGCCCAUGGGCAUGUGCACGUCCCUCUUUAUUUCCACACACACCUUGUGCACCCUUGAGGUGGCUCUCUCUCGAAAGAAGUUGCCUGCCUUCCUUUUUUUUUAACAUGUGCCUUUUGUAAUGUAUCUGGGGAUGUAUUGCCUAAACAGUAACAACUUUCAACAACGGAUCUCUUGGCUCUCGCAUCGAUGAAGAACGCAGC